GCCCCCGUAGUUCAAUGGAUAGAACACCGGCCUUCUAAGCCGGAUAUCUAGGUUCGAUUCCUAGCGGGGGUACGA
rnacentral:tRNA from 1 species